rnacentral:rRNA from 1 species
GUGCCAGCAGCCGCGGUAAUACGAAGGGGGCUAGCGUUGCUCGGAAUCACUGGGCGUAAAGGGUGCGUAGGCGGGUUUCUAAGUCAGAGGUGAAAGCCUGGAGCUCAACUCCAGAACUGCCUUUGAUACUGGAAGUCUUGAGUAUGGCAGAGGUGAGUGGAACUGCGAGUGUAGAGGUGAAAUUCGUAGAUAUUCGCAAGAACACCAGUGGCGAAGGCGGCUCACUGGGCCAUUACUGACGCUGAGGCACGAAAGCGUGGGGAGCAAACAGGAUUAGAAACCCGGGUAGUCCA